rnacentral:rRNA from 1 species
GACGGAGGGAGCAAGCGUUGUCCGGAAUCACUGGGCGUAAAGAGCUCGUAGGCGGGAGCUUAAGUCUGAAAGUAAAUCCAACGGCUUAACUGUUGGGUCAUUUUGGAUACUGGGCUUCUUGAGGACAGAAGGGGAAAGGGGAAUUCCAGGUGUAGCGGUGAAAUGCGUAGAUAUCUGGAGGAACACCGGUGGCGAAGGCGCCUUUCUGGUCUGAUUCUGACGCUGAGGAGCGAAAGCCAGGGGAG